rnacentral:rRNA from 1 species
UUCCAAGGAGCAUGCCUGUUUGAGUGUCGUUAAA